AGCAAUCAGCGAGACUCCGUGGGCGUAGGACCCUCCGAGCCAGGUGCGGGAUAUAGUCUGGUGGUGCGCCGUUUUUUAAGUCGGUCUGAAAAGCGCAAUAUUCGGGUGGGAGUGACCCGAUUUUCCAGGUGCGUCCGUCACCCCUUUCUUUGACUCGGAAAGGGAACUCCCUGACCCCUUGCGCUUCCCAGGUGAGGCAAUGCCUCGCCCUGCUUCGGCUCGCACACAGUGCACACACCCACUGGCCUGCAUCCACUGUCUGGCACUCCCUAGUGAGAUGAACCCGGUACCUCAGAUGGAAAUGCAGAAAUCACCCGUCUUCUGCGUCGCUCACGCUGGGAGCUGUAGACCGGAGCUGUUCCUAUUCGGCCAUCUUGGGUCUGGAUUCGGCAUUACAUGUCUUAACGGAAAGCCAAUGUAGAAAUACCGAGGCCAACCAGUGGUUUACUUUGAUGCUUACCAGGGAACACUAGGGAAAUUUGCCAGUACAUGGAUCCUGUUUGGAAGAAUCAGAUCAAAGGAAGAAAUAUACAGUGUCAGACCCUGGCACCU
ensembl:lncRNA novel transcript